UACGGAGGGGGCUAGCGUUGUUCGGAAUUACUGGGCGUAAAGCGCACGUAGGCGGCUAUUCAAGUCAGAGGUGAAAGCCCGGGGCUCAACCCCGGAAUUGCCUUUGAAACUAGAUAGCUAGAAUCACGGAGAGGUAAGUGGAAUUCCGAGUGUAGAGGUGAAAUUCGUAGAUAUUCGGAAGAACACCAGUGGCGAAGGCGGCUUACUGGACGUGAAUUGACGCUGAGGUGCGAAAGCGUGGGGAGCAAACAGG
rnacentral:rRNA from 1 species